rnacentral:rRNA from 1 species
UACAGAGGUCCCAAGCGUUGUUCGGAUUCACUGGGCGUAAAGGGUGCGUAGGCGGUCAGGUAAGUCUGCUGUGAAAUCCCGCAGCUCAACUGCGGAACUGCAUUGGAUACUAUCUGACUAGAGGAAUGGAGGGGAGACUGGAAUACUUGGUGUAGCAGUGAAAUGCGUAGAUAUCAAGUGGAACACCAGUGGCGAAGGCGAGUCUCUGGACAUUUUCCUGACGCUGAGGCACGAAAGCCAGGGGAGCAAACGGG